GGGGCCUUUUAUAGCUCACUAUGCGGUAUGGGCUUUGCUCAGUCAUUGUUGAGCUAUAGUUGUUAAUGUCUGUGUUAUUUUGGUCUUUUGUGGAUAGUUGUCUCAUUGGCAAUCAUACCACAUCUUCUUUUUUAUAUUGGGCUGUUUUGUGCUUUGUUGGGGUUGUUAUCACUAUGACACAUUCACCAUUUCUAUCUCAUUAUUAUUUUCUUUGAAAUGAUGAUCAUUUCUUAUGCAAUUUUUCCAAUACUCAGGGUAAAAUUUUGAUCCAUACAAAUGACAAGUUUAUUCUUUCCAAAAAACAAAACAAAAA
rnacentral:lncRNA from 1 species